ensembl:rRNA 5S_rRNA 5S ribosomal RNA
GUCUAUGGCCAUACCACCCUGAACACGCCCAAUCUCGUCUGAUCUCGGAAGCUAAGCAGGGUCGGGCUUGAUUAGUACUUGGAUGGGAGAAAAGAAACAAAUCACCUAAAAAGGAAAGCCCAUCAGAAUCACAGCUG